CUUCGGCAAUCUGUCACAAAGUUUUGAUUUAGUGGCUUUGAAAAAAACUUUUUAAAUUUAUAAAGCUAAUUAUGCGAUUGCCUUAGCUUAAAAGCGUGUUUUUACCACAUACAUAUAACUUUUUUCAUCUAAUCAGACCUGGUCAAUAACAAAUCAUGUAGAUACAAAUUUUCGGAGAUGGAUCAAUUUCCGUUCUUUACCACAGAAAAAAGAUUUAGGCAUAAUUGGCGCAUCGUUGGGCUAAUUUCUUUAACGAAGGGUGGACUCCACAUUUUUGGCUGUUUCUUGUUCUCUAGUGUGUACCAGUGGAUUCAUGUUUCAUCGGCGAUCAUGCAACGAACGUCAAACACUGCCCAAAGUCUUAAGCAAGAUAAUGAUCUAAGUGAUUUUUGAGAUGAGAUCAAAACAAAAGGACGUGUCCAAUUCGAAACAAACUUUGACAACAGCCGUCUAUGAGAAUGUACUACACGGUAGCAGAUUUUUACCUAGCAGCCCUCGUGUGUAGAUUGAUUUAGUAGUUAUGGAUUUUUUCUAGAAUAUUUAAAUAAAUGAAGAAGGAAACAUUAA